AUUGAACGCUGGCGGCAUGCUUUACACAUGCCAGUCGAACGGCAGCGCGGGCUUCGGCCUGGCGGCGAGUGGCGAACGGGUGAGUAAUGCAUCGGAACGUGCCCAGUAGUGGGGGAUAGCCCGGCGAAAGCCGGAUUAAUACCGCAUACGACCUGAGGGUGAAAGCGGGGGACCGAAAGGCCUCGCGCUAUUGGAGCGGCCGAUGUCGGAUUAGCUAGUUGGUGGGGUAAAGGCUUACCAAGGCGACGAUCCGUAGCUGGUCUGAGAGGACGACCAGCCACACGGGGACUGAGACACGGCCCAGACUCCUACGGGAGGCAGCAGUGGGGAAUUUUGGACAAUGGGGGCAACCCUGAUCCAGCCAUGCCGCGUGCGGGAAGAAGGCCUUCGGGUUGUAAACCGCUUUUGUUCGGGAAGAAAUCCUCUGGGCUAAUACCCCGGGGGGAUGACGGUACCGGAAGAAUAAGCACCGGCUAACUACGUG
rnacentral:rRNA from 1 species